GACAGAGGUGCCGAGCGUUAGGCGGAAUCACUGGGCUUAAAGCGUGUGUAGGCGGCCCGUUAAGUGUCUUGUGAAAUCCCCCGGCUCAACCGGGGAACGGCUGGGCAUACUGGCGGGCUUGGGUCGCUCAGGGGCAGACGGAACAGGCGGUGGAGCGGUGAAAUGCGUAGAUAUCGCCUGGACCGCCGAAGGUGAAAACAGUCUGCUGGGGGCGCACCGACGCUGAGACACGAAAGCCAGGGGAGCGAACGGG
rnacentral:rRNA from 1 species